GACGAACGCUGGCGGCGUGCUUAACACAUGCAAGUCGAACGGUAAGGCCCUUCGGGGUACACGAGUGGCGAACGGGUGAGUAACACGUGGGUGAUCUGCCCUGCACUUCGGGAUAAGCCGGGGAAACUGGGUCUAAUACCGGAUAGGACCACUGCCUGCAUGGGUGGGGGGGGAAAGCUUUUGCGGUGUGGGAUGGGCCCGCGGCCUAUCAGCUUGUUGGUGGGGUGAUGGCCUACCAAGGCGACGACGGGUAGCCGGCCUGAGAGGGUGACCGGCCACACUGGGACUGAGAUACGGCCCAGACUCCUACGGGAGGCAGCAGUGGGGAAUAUUGCAAAAUGGGCGCAAGCCUGAUGCAGCGACGCCGCGUGAGGGAUGACGGCCUUCGGGUUGCAAACCUCUUCAGCACCGACGAAGCGCAAGUGACGGUAGGUGCAGAAGAAGGACCGGCCAACUACGUGCCAGCCGCCGCAGUAA
rnacentral:rRNA from 1 species